rnacentral:rRNA from 1 species
ACACGACUACAUUAGAUACCCGGGUAGUCCUAGCCGUAAACGAUACUCGCUAGGUGUCGGCCACGGUGCGACCGUUGUCGGUGCCGUAGGGAAGCCGUGAAGCGAGCCACCUGGGAAGUACGGCCGCAAGGCUGAAACUUAAAGGAAUUGGCGGGGGAGCAUAACAACGGGUGGAGCUUGCGGUUUAAUUGGAUUCAACGCCGGAAACCUUACCGGGACCGACAGCAACAUGAAGGCCAAGCUGAAGACUUUGCCGGAUUAGCUG